ensembl:lncRNA
AUGGAGGGAGGGGAGGCAGGAGUAGGUUUCCACAUCCAAACUGGCACCAGGAUUUUCCCCGUCACAGCAGUGCCUGUGUUUUUUCUUUUAGUUUAUGGGAACAAAAAAGGGUUAUGUCCUUUCAACCGAUGGCAGAGCAGCAUUAAUGAUGGUGCUGGCAUUAUUUUAGAGCACAGUGGCACCAGAAAACAUGACAUUGGUUUGUUAUCCCUCAGCAGAGGAAAGAACAAUUGCUCCUGGUCUUUGGGAGAAAACUUGCUUUGUCAUCUGCUGAUUGCUGGGAGAGAAAUGGCAAGGAGACAAAUCCCUCCCUCAAAGACUUGCAGCGCAUACUGGAACUCUGCAUGGGAGUGAAGCCUGAAAAUAGACCAUCCUUCUGCACUUCAAAGGCCCUAGAAUAAUCUGACAGACAAGUGACAUUAAAGAACACAAAAUGAAGAUUCAGAAGAAAUAAAUGAGUUAUGGAAAGUAGAUCUUGAUCUUGCAGUCAAACAAAUGGACAUUGUGUAGAUUGUUCUUAGAAAUGAGACAUAGGAUUUGUCUUGGAGUCUCUAACAGUAUUUUUUAUUACUACAAACUGUUUUUAAAUCUGUGCUGUGAUUUUUACAUUAUUAAUCUUUUCCUUUUUCAUCUCUGUAACUUCUGCACCCAUUAGCUAGCUGGACUUUUUGUCCUAUAACCUUCUCCUUUUACUUCCUAAGUAAAAAGAUUGUUUCAUAUUCAGUAAAUUAAACACAUGGCUUUCAACAUACGUCUCAGGACAGUAUACUUUUCUUCAAGAAAAAGAAAUAUGGUUUCCAGAUAAAACAUCAGAAUGAAAUAAACACAGAAACAAUGUGCCUUUGGGGAGCAAGAAAACACUCCAGGGCUGAUUAUAUUUGCCAGAACGUUGAACAUGAACACAUCAGAUUGAUUAAGUCUGUCAUAACAGCAAAUCAUUAAGCCAUAAAAGAGAAAGUUGAAUAUACUUUCUAGAGAGAGAAGUCUAUUUUUUAAAUAAUCAAAAUAAUAUGGCUUUUAGAAAAUCCCUGUUGCUUUACUGUACUAGUAUUUUGAGCAGGACUUUGAUGUCAAAGAUGCUAUAGUAAUAAAAGCACAGACAUUGCAAUGUUAAUUUAUUAUUUUUUAUUACAUGACAUACCUAUCUGUGCCAAUGUCAGUAAAGACAAACAUGCCAGGUCAGGCGUAACCAGUGCCAUACAGCACUACAGGGGAAGGAAACAGCUGAGAGGCAAAGGACCAGCAUAGAUUCUGUACAGAGAGAAAAACACUUGUUGAAAAGCAAUGUAGUUACAAGGGGGUUUCCACAAAAACUUCCCUAUUCUGUGAAAACCUGAUCUAGAGGGAAUUCCAGAGUCAGCCUAAAGCGAGGCAGGAAAAAGAUGAAGCAAGCUAGUGAGCUGGAGGGAAUCCCAGACAGUGAGACGCUUGUCCAGAGAGAUCCUGUUCUCUGGCAUACACUGCGUAGGGCCAUGCAGCUCUUCAAGAACUGCAAGUUCUUGGGGUCAGAGCUCAUAUUCUCCUGACAUCCCACUUCCUGGGCAGUAUGACUGCAAGUUUUAUACACAAAACAAGGAAAACAUCAUAGCAAUCAUCACUGAUUUCAUGCUUCAGGAGGCAGCCACCCAGAAGAUUUUUUUAGCUGCCAGAAGUAGCCACUGCCCUGCGAACAUAUCCAAGUAUGUUUCUCUUCAGGUGAUUGAUCACAGAAGGGCUGAAGGAAGAGAUUUUUUUUUUCUUUUUAACAGCAAAUCACUUUUCUCAUUUCUUGAGUAUCCAGUGGCUGAGGAGAAACAUGUUCUCCUGCAGAUAUGAGCUCAGCUUGUGAGUGCUAGGGACAUUCUUUUAUUGAUGAAAGACUUGCUGCUCACUAAAAAUAUCCAGCUUUUGAAGUAGAAAUGAUCCUUCUUCAGCAUCUCAGGACUUCAGAGAAACUCAGAAGCCAGUAUGAUUUGCUAUGACCCCACCCCCUCAGUCUCCCCUAGUAUGAAAUUAUCUUGAAGGAGAAAAAAUAAAAUCAAAGUGUUUAAAACGUUUCUCUUCAACAUUUCCACCUCUCUGAAGAAGAUUCUACUAAGACAAAAAUAGGUAGCAUUGGCAGGACCACUGCAGACUUUCAAACAGGCAAGAUCUAACAUGCAAUUAUUAGUUGCUCCUUAUCAUAAGGGGCGUUGAAAAGAUACACACUGAUUUAUUUACACUAGUAUUUAAACAGUACUCCAGAAAAGAGAAGGAAAAACAUAUUGUUGCAGAGGAAAAACCAUCUCAAAAGCUAUGUAUAUAUAAAUUCUCUUCUGUCUGCAACAGUCCGAAGCUUGCAAUUCAUCAGCUGGUCUUUAACCUGCACUCUCUGUAAGUUCAUGAUUUCAUUGGGUUGAAAAAAUGGGCUAAAUGAAUCACAGUUCCUAUUGUUGAAGAGCUAAAAUUAAGAUUUGUUCUACGUGAAGCCAAGAUCAAAAACUGUCCAAGCUUUAGUGUCUAUCCUGUCGUUUACCCAGUCAACAAAACACUUUAAGCUUCAAAGACUACCUUUUGCACAGUAGCACAUGAAACAGUAACAAUGAUGGAGCUCAGCUGUCCCUCCUUGUAUUUGCUUUCCAUAUUUCUCCCUAAUCUUUCAAAUUUAUGAUUUUGCAACUGAUUUUACAUCCGAUUAUUGCUCUUCUUCUUGGCUAGAUAUCAAGGACUACUGAUACCUAAGGCUGGUAUUCUUAUCCUCAAAGCCUGAGUAAGCCAAAGGCAUGACUCACAAAGUUCCAUCUAACAGUCUCUCUGUUCAAAAAGCCCAAUCUUAGUACGAGAUAAAUUGAAAUGAAAAGAUUCAGGCUGAAACAUACACAUAGCCUUAAAUAGCUGAAAAUACGCCGUGAGCUUGGAAAGUGCAAAGCAUUUAAUUUUUCAGAUCUCUUCCAUGCUUCCAUUGGAACCAUAUGGAGCUUCCAUUUCCUUAUAUUCUCCACCUACACUAUCCUACACUAUAAUCCACACUAGAAUAUAGUGGCCAAAUACAUGCAGUAGUUUAAAACAUAAUUGUAUAUAUGCAUAUUAGCUCUACAGUAUGGUAUUUUUUUUCUGAGCUUACACAAUUAUGACUGACAGCAAAGCUCAUUGAAAUGUAUUUAGUCAUUUGCAUCCAUCGGUUUAAUUUAUAGUCACCUCCCAGGUGCUAAUUUGUAUUUACAAUUACAAUGCAGAUUUACUAAUAACUCUCAAGAAAACAAGAUUGUUGGUGAAGCAUCAUCAUGUGCUGGGAUGUCACUAGAUGAUGCCACUUCAUAAAAGAUGGAGAUUCCUUUCUAGUUUCAAGAAUUUCUGUCUUCAUUUUCAGGAGUGCAAACACACUUCAAUCUUUCGAUUUCAGUGUAUUUCAAAUGCACAGCACCUAUAGAAAUUAGACUGCAUUAUCUGGCAUGUUGUAGUGUCGAUAAUUCACUGAAUACCAGGUGCUCCGUCUCUGCAUAGAAGUAAAGGAAGAACCAAGAAACUGGAAGAAAAAUUUAAUACCCCUAAUAUCUCUCCGGUCAAGGUGCUGUACAGAAACUUAGAAGUCAUUGAAAACGCAGCCUCGCCUAUAAAUCUUGCUCCUUUUCCACUUUUUAACCAUCUCGGUGCUGACACUGUAACUGUUUGCUUCAUUGACCAGGCAGUUAAGUGCUCAAACUGUAAGAAUACAUGACUUAUGCCACUCCUGGAGCAAGCCCACAAUGGUUAUCGAUCAGACUUCCAACUGCAGUGACCCUACAAGGCUGUCAAAGAUUUAAUACCCAUUUUGGGGAUGAUGAGGUAAAAUCUUGUUACUCCUAUGUACCGAAGUAUUUUCAACUAUGGUUUAGACAGCCUUGUCCCUAACAACUUUUGCAUCGCAUAAGGAUUCUUUUUAUAGUAUCAGUAUAUUCUGUCCUGUAUAGUUUAAGUUUUGUAAAGCAUAAAUUAAUGUAAGUAUUACGUUCAAAUAUACACAUAGUUUGUAUAUUAACAUUAAAAGGUUUAUCAAAGCAGAAUUAAAAUUGAGCUUUGAAAACUAAAUUUUCUGAUUUUCAAAGGCUGGGGCUUGUUUUUUUUAAAAAAAAAAAAACACCGUGUUUUUUAACACUCUGUUGAAUUUGUUUGUGAGGCUGGAUUCUUCUUUUUAAGCAAAGAAUAAAAAUAUGAGGAAAUCUUUGGUAUAGUUUUAGAUUCCCUGAUACAGAUGCUUUUUCACAUAAUGUCAAGUUACUA